UCCAGACCCAGGUGUUGCAAGCCUGUGCAAUCCAAGAGAUCUAAAAUAAUGUCUGUCAGUCGCUUGGCUUUUUGGCCAGCGCCUUGGCCACCGUUUCUUCGAUCGAUAAAGGCCAAACUUCUUCUCAAAACGAGAAAAAGCUGUUUUCCUUUUUUUGUAAAUUAUUCUUCAAUUUUGUAAUUUUCCAGACGUAUCUGGCUGUGUAAUAAAUUCAUUCAUAUUUCUUUAGACGAACCUGAGAAAACGUAUCUAUGUAUUAUUUUGUUCUAUUAUCCUCUGCAAGUAGAUUAAGCGAGUUAUAAACCGCGCUCAUUUUAGCUCGCAAAGAUUUUGUCCUUUUACGAAUAGAAUUCAAUAUACGUAUUUUGGUAUUCUUUAAAUUAUUCGACGAUUAUUCGCGAACAAAAUUUCUGCAAAUAUUAGAACAAUUGAUGUUCCGAUAUUUAUAGUACAGUAAAUAUUCCGUUGUUAUAAUUUGGAACAUUGUAAACGUGCACUGUGUACCACGAAGAAGAUCCAACGAUAUGUAUACUAAAAAACAAUUCUUUUACUAAACAUUCAUAACGUUCGUCUUUCUCUCAUUACAGUUAUUAAAUGAUAUAAUUGUGCACAUUACAUAUGUUCGUAUUAUCAUAUGUUCAUAUUAUCACAUAUUCGUAGGCCGCGGCUAAAAAUAUAGAUCAGGGAGUGAACGAAUUUAUUACGCAACAUAAUUACCAUGUUAUACUUUUAUUUUCAAACGAUAUCAAUUAAAGGUUUUUGUAUUUUCAAAGAGUCAAUUUCGCAUCCAAUAAAAAAUCGAACGCCACGUUUAAAAGGAAUCAAUCUUGGCCCAGGAUGAAUAUAGAACGUGAGGAACGACCGCAAUAAAUAGCAACGAGACUGAAAAAGAAACGCACUCUGGAGGAGAUGUGGAAAUGUUAUAUAAUGUCAGGUGGAUAAACGAUCGCCGGAUGACAGAUAGAGCCGAUACCGGGCGACCAUGGGAAUCGUUCACAUAUGCAGCUAUACAAUUAAAUUCAGGACAUCACAAAGCUUAACCUGUUCCAACGCAAUUACCCUUCCCCCAAACGUCCAUUUCCUUCUUCUUAAACAGACGAAAACCAAGAUUUAAAAAAAGAAGAAAUUAAACCUAAUUAAAUCCAUUACAUCGUAUCAUCGAAAAACUCAUCCCCCGGGGGAUAUAAAAAUAGAUAAAUAUUCGGUCUUGGAACUAACACGAUAAAAA